rfam:Halomicrobium mukohataei DSM 12286, complete genome.
CGACAACGAGGAUAGAGGAAGUCGCCUCACGGCGGCUGGGCGCGAAAUUCGCC